GAUUGAACGCUGGCGGCAGGCCUAACACAUGCAAGUCGAGCGGUAGCACAGGAGAGCUUGCUCUCUGGGUGACGAGCGGCGGACGGGUGAGUAAUGUCUGGGAAACUGCCUGAUGGAGGGGGAUAACUACUGGAAACGGUAGCUAAUACCGCAUAACGUCUUCGGACCAAAGUGGGGGACCUUCGGGCCUCACGCCAUCAGAUGUGCCCAGAUGGGAUUAGCUAGUAGGUGGGGUAAUGGCUCACCUAGGCGACGAUCCCUAGCUGGUCUGAGAGGAUGACCAGCCACACUGGAACUGAGACACGGUCCAGACUCCUACGGGAGGCAGCAGUGGGGAAUAUUGCACAAUGGGCGCAAGCCUGAUGCAGCCAUGCCGCGUGUGUGAAGAAGGCCUUCGGGUUGUAAAGCACUUUCAGCGAGGAGGAAGGGUUCAGUGUUAAUAGCACUGUGCAUUGACGUUACUCGCAGAAGAAGCACCGGCUAACUCCGUGCCAGCAGCCGCGGUAAUACGGAGGGUGCAAGCGUUAAUCGGAAUUACUGGGCGUAAAGCGCACGCAGGCGGUUUGUUAAGUCAGAUGUGAAAUCCCCGCGCUUAACGUGGGAACUGCAUUUGAAACUGGCAAGCUAGAGUCUUGUAGAGGGGGGUAGAAUUCCAGGUGUAGCGGUGAAAUGCGUAGAGAUCUGGAGGAAUACCGGUGGCGAAGGCGGCCCCCUGGACAAAGACUGACGCUCAGGUGCGAAAGCGUGGGGAGCGAACAGGAUUAGAUACCCUGGUAGUCCACGCUGUAAACGAUGUCGACUUGGAGGUUGUGCCCUUGAGGCGUGGCUUCCGGAGCUAACGCGUUAAGUCGACCGCCUGGGGAGUACGGCCGCAAGGUUAAAACUCAAAUGAAUUGACGGGGGCCCGCACAAGCGGUGGAGCAUGUGGUUCAAUUCGAUGCAACGCGAAGAACCUUACCUACUCUUGACAUCCACAGAAUUCGCUAGAGAUAGCUUAGUGCCUUCGGGAACUGUGAGACAGGUGCUGCAUGGCUGUCGUCAGCUCGUGUUGUGAAAUGUUGGGUUAAGUCCCGCAACGAGCGCAACCCUUAUCCUUUGUUGCCAGCACGUAAUGGUGGGAACUCAAAGGAGACUGCCGGUGAUAAACCGGAGGAAGGUGGGGAUGACGUCAAGUCAUCAUGGCCCUUACGAGUAGGGCUACACACGUGCUACAAUGGCGUAUACAAAGAGAAGCGAACUCGCGAGAGCCAGCGGACCUCAUAAAGUACGUCGUAGUCCGGAUCGGAGUCUGCAACUCGACUCCGUGAAGUCGGAAUCGCUAGUAAUCGUAGAUCAGAAUGCUACGGUGAAUACGUUCCCGGGCCUUG
rnacentral:rRNA from 1 species